rnacentral:rRNA from 1 species
AUCUGGGAGUGAUGAAAAAUAUGUACAAGGUUCCGUAGGUGAACUGCGGAAGGAUCAUUA